UACGUAGGGUGCGAGCGUUGUCCGGAAUUAUUGGGCGUAAAGAGCUCGUAGGCGGCUUGUCGCGUCGGAUGUGAAAGCCCGGGGCUUAACUCCGGGCCUGCAGUGGGUACGGGCAGACUAGAGUGCGGUAGGGGAGACUGGAAUUCCUGGUGUAGCGGUGAAAUGCGCAGAUAUCAGGAGGAACACCGAUGGCGAAGGCAGCUCACUGGGACGGUACUGACGCUGAGACGCGAAAGCGUGGGGAGCAAACAGG
rnacentral:rRNA from 1 species